rnacentral:rRNA from 1 species
AACCUCCGCAAUGUGAGAAAUCGCGACGGGGGGAUCCCAAGUGCCAUUCUUAACGGGAUGGCUUUUCAUUAGUGUAAAGAGCUUUUGGAAUAAGAGCUGGGCAAGACCGGUGCCAGCCGCCGCGGUAACACCGGCAGCUCUAGUGGUAGCAAUUUUUAUUGGGCCUAAAGCGUCCGUAGCCGGUUUAAUAAGUCUCUGGUGAAAUCCUGUAGCUUAACUGUGGGAAUUGCUGGUGAUACCGUUGAACUUGAGGUCGGGAGAGGUUAGCGGUACUCCCAGGGUAGAGGUGAAAUUCUGUAAUCCUGGGGGGACCACCUGUGGCGAAGGCGGCUAACUGGAACGAACCUGACGGUGAGGGACGAAAGCUAGGGGCGCGAACCGGAUUAGAUACCCGGGUAGUCCUAGCCGUAAACGAUGCGGACUUGGUGUUGGGAUGGCUUUGAGCCGCUCCGGUGCCGAAGGGAAGCUGUUAAGUCCGCCGCCUGGGAGUACGGUCGCAAGACUGAAACUUAAAGGAAUU